ensembl:lncRNA
CCACUCACCCACCCACGCCAGCCACACAGCCAGCCAGAGCACCACUUACCCACCCACGCAAGCCAGCCAGCCAGCAGAAGCACCACUCACCCACGCCAGCCAGCCCGAGCACCACUCACCCACCCACCAACGCAAGCCAGCAAGCCGGAGCACCACUCCACCAUCCACGCCAGCAAACCAGCCAGCCGGAGCACCAUUCACCCACGCCAGCCAGCCAGCAAGCCAGAGCACCACUCACCCACCCACGCACGCUAGCCAGCCAGCUGGAGCAGCACUCACCCACCCACGCCAGCCACACAGCCAGCCAGAGCACCACUUACCCACCCACGCAAGCCAGCCAGCCAGCAGAAGCACCUCUCACCCACGCCAGCCAGCCAGCCAGUAGGAGCACCACUCACCCACCCACGCCAGGCAGCCUUCCAGUAGAAGCAACAGUCACCCACGCACACCAGACAGCCAACCCGAGCAUUAUUCACCCACCCACUCCUGCAAGCUAGCCAGCGGGAGCACCAAUCACCCACGACAGCCAGCGAGCGAUACAGAGGGAUCACCACUCACGCUCCCACGCACGCAGGCCAGCCAGGUGGAGCACAAGUCACCUACGCACGCCAGCAAGCCGGAGCACCACUCACCCAUGCACGCCAGCGAGACAGCCAGCCGGGGCACUACUCACCCAUGCACGCAUGCCAGCCAGGCAGCAAGCCGGAGCACCACUCACCCACCCACCCACGCCAGCAAGCCAGCCAAAGCACCACUCACCCAUCCACGCACGCCAGCCAGCCAGCUGCAGCACCAAUCACCCACACACGCUCGCCAGCCAGCCUGUGUGCCACUCACCCACACCAGCCAGCCAGCCAGCCAGCCAGCCAGCCGGAGCACCACUCACCGACGCAUGCCUGCCAGCCGGAGCAAAACUCACCCAUCCAUGCAAGUCAGCAGGAGCACCACUCACCCACACACACGUGCCAGGCAGCCAGCUGGAACAGCACUCACCCACGCACGGCAGCCAGCCAGCCGGAGCACCACUCACCCACCCACGCCAGCCAGCCAGCCGGCAGGAGCACCACUCACGCACGCCAGCCAGCGAGUCUGAGCACCACUCACCCACGCACGCCAGCCAGGCAGCCAGCCGGAGCACCACUCACGCACCCACGCACGCAGACCAGCCAGGUGGAGCACAUCUCACCUACGCACGCCAGCAAGCCACUGCACCACUCACCCAUCCACCCCAGCCAGCCAGCAAGCCGGACAACCACUCACCCACCCACACCAGCCAUCCAACCGGAGUACCAAUCACCCACCCACGUACGCCAGCCAGCAAGCCAGCUGGGGCACCAGUCACCCACCCACGGCAGCCAGCCAGAAAGCCGGAGCACCACUCACCCACGCACGCACGCCAGCCAGCCAGCCAUCCGGAGCACCACUCACCCACGCAUGCCAGCCAGAAGCCCGAACAACACUCACCCACCCACGCCAUCCAGCCAGCCGGAGCACCACUCACCCAGUCACGGCAGCCAGCCAGCCGGAGCACCACACACCCACGCAUGCCAGCCACAAGCACGAACAACACUCACCCACCCACGCCAGCAAGCCAGCCAGCCAGAGCACCACUCACCCAUCCACGCACGCCAACGCCAGCCAGGCGGAGCACCACUCACCCACGCACGCCAGCCAGCAAGCCAGCCGGGGCACCACUCACCCAUGCACACCAGGCAGCCAGCAGGCUGGAGCACAACUCACCCCCGCCAGCCAGCCAGCCAGCUAGAGCACCACUCACCCACGCACGCCAGCCAGCCGGAGCACCACUCACCCACCCACCAACGCAAGCCAGCCAGUUGGAGCACCACUCAACCAUCCACGCCAGCCACCCAGCCAGCCGGAGCACCAGUUACCCAUGUACGCAUGCAGCCAGCCAGCCAGAGCACCACUCACCCGCGCACGCCAGCCAGACAGCCGGAGGACUACUCACCCACCCAUACCGGCAAGUCAGCCAGCCGGAGCACCACUCACCCAGGACACCCAGCCAGCCAGAACCCCAC